CCUACGGGUGGCAGCAGUGGGGAAUAUUGCUCAAUGGGCGAAACCCUGAAGCAGCAACGCCGCGUGGAGGAUGAAGGUUUUCGGAUUGUAAACCCCUUUUGUUAGAGAAGAUAAUGACGGUAUCUAACGAAUAAGCACCGGCUAACUCCGUGCCAGCAGCCGCGGUAAUACGGAGGGUGCAAGCGUUACUCGGAAUCACUGGGCGUAAAGAGCGCGUAGGCGGGAUAGCAAGUCAGAUGUGAAAUCCUAUGGCUUAACCAUAGAACUGCAGUUGAAACUGUUAUUCUAGAGUAUGGGAGAGGUAGGUGGAAUUCUUGGUGUAGGGGUAAAAUGCGUAGAGAUCAAGAGGAAUACUCAUUGCGAAGGCGACCUGCUAGAACAUAACUGACGCUGAGGCGCGAAAGCGUGGGGAGCAAACAGGAUUAGAUACCCGGGUAGUC
rnacentral:rRNA from 1 species